GGGGGUAUAGCACAGUGGUAGAGAAUGUGACUGCAGAUCACGAGGUCUCAAGUACAAAUUGUGAUGCUCCCC